CCCAGGACCCUGGGAUCAUGACCUGAGCCGAAGGCAGCCGCUCAACCGACUGAGCCACCCAGAGUUCUACUGUAUGAAUGUACCAGAGUUUGCUUUCUAUUCACCUACUGAUGGAAAAUUGGGGUUGUUUCCAGUUUGGGACAAUUCUGGAUAAGGCUUCUAUGAACACAGAGAUAGAGACAGCCAGCGAGAGAGGGAACACAAGC